GACGAACGCUGGCGGCGUGCCUAAUACAUGCAAGUCGAGCGGACAGAAGGGAGCUUGCUCCCGGAAGUUAGCGGCGGACGGGUGAGUAACACGUGGGCAACCUACCCUGUAGAUCGGGAUAACAUCGAGAAAUCGGUGCUAAUACCGGAUAAUCAUUUGAAGUGCAUGCUUCGAAUGUAAAAGAUGGCUCCGGCUAUCACUACGGGAUGGGCCCGCGGCGCAUUAGCUGGUUGGUAAGGAAAUGGCUUACCAAGGCAACGAUGCGUAGCCGACCUGAGAGGGUGAUCGGCCACACUGGGACUGAGACACGGCCCAGACUCCUACGGGAGGCAGCAGUAGGGAAUCUUCCGCAAUGGACGAAAGUCUGACGGAGCAACGCCGCGUGAGUGAUGAAGGUUUUCGGAUCGUAAAGCUCUGUUGUUAGGGAAGAACAAGUGCCGUUUGAAUAAGGCGGCACCUUGACGGUACCUAACCAGAAAGCCACGGCUAACUACGUGCCAGCAGCCGCGGUAAUAC
rnacentral:rRNA from 1 species